rnacentral:rRNA from 1 species
UACGUAGGGUGCGAGCGUUGUCCGGAUUUAUUGGGCGUAAAGAGCUCGUAGGCGGUCUGUCGCGUCGGAUGUGAAAGCCCGGGGCUUAACCCCGGGUCUGCAUUCGAUACGGGCAGGCUAGAGUGUGGUAGGGGAGAUCGGAAUUCCUGGUGUAGCGGUGAAAUGCGCAGAUAUCAGGAGGAACACCGGUGGCGAAGGCGGAUCUCUGGGCCAUUACUGACGCUGAGGAGCGAAAGCGUGGGGAGCGAACAGG